rnacentral:ribozyme from 1 species
AGGCUCCCCCAGGCCCAGCCCCGUGCAAGCCGGGGCCGCGGUUCCGCCGCGCGGCGCUCACAGGAGUAGGG